rnacentral:rRNA from 1 species
UUGGAGGGCAAGUCUGGUGCCAGCAGCCGCGGUAAUUCCAGCUCCAAUAGCGUAUAUUAAAGUUGUUGCAGUUAAAAAGCUCGUAGUUGAAUUUCGGGAUCAAUAUGCCGGUCAUGCCUUGGUAUGCACUGGUAUCUUUGAUUUCUCCCUUCUGACGAACUUUGAUGUCAUUAAUUUGGUGUCAUAGGGAAUCAGGACUGUUACUUUGAAAAAGUUAGAGUGUUUAAAGCAAGCUCACGCUUGAAUACAUUAGCAUGGAAUAAUGAAAUAGGACGUUUGAUUCUAUUUUGUUGGUUUCUAGGAUCGACGUAAUGAUUAAUAGGGAUAGUUGGGGGCAUUAGUAUUCAAUUGUCAGAGGUGAAAUUCUUGGAUUUAUUGAAGACUAACUACUGCGAAAGCAUUUGCCAAGGAUGUUUUCAUUAAUCAAGAACGAAAGUUAGGGGAUCGAAGACGAUCAGAUACCGUCGUAGUCUUAACCAUAAACUAUGCCGACUAGGGAUCGGAUGAUGUUAAUUUUUUAAUGACUCAUUCGGCGCCUUACGGGAAAC